AUCCGCUAUGAGAUGGACCCGCGGCGCAUUAGCUAGUUGGUGGGGUAACGGCCUACCAAGGCGACGAUGCGUAGCCGACCUGAGAGGGUGAUCGGCCACAUUGGGACUGAGACACGGCCCAGACUCCUACGGGAGGCAGCAGUGGGGAAUAUUGCACAAUGGGGGAAACCCUGAUGCAGCAACGCCGCGUGAGUGAUGAAGGUUUUCGGAUCGUAAAGCUCUGUCUUUGGGGAAGAUAAUGACGGUACCCAAGGAGGAAGCCACGGCUAACUACGUGCCAGCAGCCGCGGUAAUACGUAGGUGGCGAGCGUUAUCCGGAUUUACUGGGCGUAAAGGGAGCGUAGGCG
rnacentral:rRNA from 1 species